rnacentral:rRNA from 1 species
UACAGAGGGUGCGAGCGUUGUCCGGAAUUACUGGGCGUAAAGGGCUCGUAGGCGGCGGGGCAAGUCCAUGGUGAAAGCUCGCGGCUCAACUGCGAGUCGGCCACGGAUACUCUUUCGCUCGAGCACUGUAGAGGCAGAUGGAAUUCCGGGUGUAGCGGUGGAAUGCGUAGAGAUCCGGAAGAACACCGGUGGCGAAGGCGGUCUGCUGGGCAGUAGCUGACGCUGAGGCGCGAAAGCGUGGGGAGCAAACAGG